CGGAGCGACCCGGGAUCGGCGCGAACAGGACGGGCACGCAGGGUCUGAAUGCUGACACCACUAAGUCAGUGGAGCAAGAGUUGUUUCAGACCAGUUAAAGAUGGCCCUCACAAAGAAAGUGACUUAACAGCAAAAGGUGUGGCAUUACUGUGUUUAGUAAGACCAUAUUAGCAAUAUCCUUAACAACUAUAUAGCGUUGAAAUAAGACAGUAACUGCUAGAAACAUUGUAAACGGGUUUAUUUUUUCACUUAAACUUACACACAACAUGUUUAUUAGUUUAAAAAAAAAAUCUCAACAUGAAAGGCAGUAGUUUGGCUUUUUGUUUGCAAAGGGUAAAGCAUCUCCUCACUUAAAACGGAGUUAUAACAAUUCUGAGUAAUCCACAGUGGUUACGCUUACUUGUCAUUUAAUAUCAGCGAAAAACCUGUUAACAUUCCAGAUUGUUGUAGAAAAACUGUAUACCACACUUAGGCAUACAAGAUUUAGAACACACAAAAAAUACCCUGUUUUAAAAGUACUCUCCAUUCCAAAUAGGUUUGCAUUUUAGUCCACCCUCUCUCUUUAGGCUUCACAUUUACAAUUCUCUAUAUACAGAAAGGUACAAGAAAUUGAUACAGUAUUUAUUGUAACAAACUAAGGAUGCCACAGUAUGCUAGUUUAAAUUAGCCUCUCCCCAGCUUGCACACCUUCUUGCUUCUUAUUCCUCCUGUGAAGCAGUCUUCUCUGGUUCCAGAAUUAAGUUCUUCCAUUGCAAGGCACGUACUUAUCUACA
rnacentral:lncRNA from 1 species